AAUCGCGGAUCAGAAUGCCGCGGUGAAUACGUUCCCGGGUCUUGUACACACCGCCCGUCACACCAUGGGAGCCGGAAAUGCCCGAAGCCAGUGACCCAACCUUAGGGAGGGAGCUGUCGAAGGUGGAGCCGGUAACUGGGGUGAAGUCGUAACAAGGUAGC
rnacentral:rRNA from 1 species